GGUUUGCUCCAUGUUUAUUUGAACCCUUAUCUGACACUGCUACAUUUUAUUAGAUCUGAUCAAUUAGUGCUUCAGUAUUUUUGAAACAGUGGCUUGAUGCCAUUCCCAAAUGUAUGUAUUAUGUAAAUUAGUUUGGUGCUUACCAACAAAGUGCCAUCUUAUUUGUGUUGCCUACGCUUGUGCAGGUUCAUAAUAUUUGUCAAUUAGCCACUUAAACCUUCAGAAUUUGAUUGACAGCAAAGUCUAUGUUUCCAAUCUUAUUAGCCAUCAGAAUCCCACAUUGGAUAUUCUUUUAAAAUUGUUAAAAUUUUAUUUUAUGCAUAUGGGUGUUUUGCCUGCAUGUAUGUCUGCAUACAACAUGCUGGCUGCUCUCCAGAGGACCCAGGUUUGGUUCCCAGCACCUAGUCCCUUGGGAUCCAAAAUCCUCCGCUGGCCUCCCUGAAUGUUCAUUUUAACAGCCCCCCCCCCCCCCCCCCGCUUUUUUUUCUUCUUUUUAAAAAUUUUUUUAAUUUAGUACUUUAGUGUAACUGCUUUUUAUCUUUUCAGAAACUCAAUUAAAAUGAAUAGAAAGAAAAUUUCUUAAGUAUGCUAUUUAUGCGUUAAAUAUACUGGUAAAAAUAAGAUUAAGACAUGAUCACAGCUUCAAAGUUUAUUGAAAGUUAAGCAAUCAUUUAGCUUCUAGCAAAUGGUUCUACUUAAUUGUGGACUAGUGUUUCCUGUAAAGAAUUUUUCAUACAGAAACCUAAAUUUUUAAUGUGUACUUGUACACCAUCAAACUAAAGGUAGUUUUCCUUUCAGAAUUAACCUAUUAAAUUGUACAUCCUCUGGCUUCUAUAAGCUUUUGUUAUAUCUUGAAGGUGGUAACCUUUUUGUGACUGACUGACUCACUUAGAUCAUUUGAUACAUAGCAGUAAAAGGUGUUUUUCAGAGUCAUAGUUUAUUUAAAAAUUAUGUUAUGGGCAGAUGUUCACUGACUUUUUCUUUAAUCUUUUUUUUUUUUAUUAAGUUAGCUCUUUUUAGCUGAUAAAAUUGCCCAUUUUGCAGGCACAGCUUGAACUGCAGUUUGUAUCCACAUAAGAACCAUUUAUCAAAACUUCUGUUGAAAUGGAAUUAUGAGAUCUUCUAUUGAAGAGGGCCUUAAUGACUUAAGUG
rnacentral:lncRNA from 1 species